CUAGUAACCGCAGGUCAGCACACUGCGGUGAAUACGUUCCCGGGCCUUGUACACACCGCCCGUCACGUCAUGGGAGCCGGGAAGACCCGAAGUCGCUGAGCUAACCCCUAGGGGAGGCAGGUGCCGAGGGUCGGCCUGGUGACUGGGACGAAGUCGUAACAAGGUAGCUGUAUCGGAAGGUGCGGCUGGAUCACCUCCUUU
rnacentral:rRNA from 1 species